rnacentral:rRNA from 1 species
UACGUAGGGGGCUAGCGUUGUCCGGAAUCAUUGGGCGUAAAGAGCGUGUAGGCGGUCCGGUAAGUCCGCUGUGAAAGUCGGGGGCUCAACCCUCGAAUGCCGGUGGAUACUGUCGGGCUAGAGUGCGGAAGAGGCGAGUGGAAUUCCUGGUGUAGCGGUGAAAUGCGCAGAUAUCAGGAGGAACACCUAUUGCGAAGGCAGCUCGCUGGGACGUAACUGACGCUGAGGCGCGACAGCGUGGGGAGCAAACAGG